rnacentral:rRNA from 1 species
CCUACGGGAGGCAGCAGUGGGGAAUCUUGCGCAAUGGGGGAAACCCUGACGCAGCAACGCCGCGUGGGUGAUGAAGGCCUUCGGGUCGUAAAGCCCUGUCAGGUGGGAAGAAACUUGUGGAUGUUAAUACCAUCCAUGCUUGACGGUACCACCGGAGGAAGCACCGGCUAACUCCGUGCCAGCAGCCGCGGUAAUACGGAGGGUGCAAGCGUUGUUCGGAAUUAUUGGGCGUAAAGCGCGUGUAGGUGGUCGUGUAAGUCAGAUGUGAAAGCCUUCUGCUUAACAGAAGAAGGGCAUUUGAAACUGCUCGACUAGAGUACGGGAGAGGAGAGUGGAAUUCCCGGUGUAGAGGUGAAAUUCGUAGAUAUCGGGAGGAACACCAGUGGCGAAGGCGGCUCUCUGGUCCGAUACUGACACUGAGACGCGAAAGCGUGGGGAGCAAACAGGAUUAGAUACCCUGGUAGUCCACGCCGUAAACGAUGGGCACUAGGUGUAGGAGGUAUUGACCCCUUCUGUGCCGAAGCUAACGCAUUAAGUGCCCCGCCUGGGGAGUACGGCCGCAAGGCUAAAACUCAAAGGAAUUGACGG